CAUUUAGCCAGUGGUUGGCUGAUCGCUUGCGAGAAAACAGGUGCUUUGGUUAUCUCGUGGCGUUUCUUUUUUAU
rfam:Chlorobium tepidum TLS, complete genome.